rnacentral:rRNA from 1 species
AUGAACGCUAGCGACAGGCUUAACACAUGCAAGUCGAGGGGUAACAGGGUAGCAAUACCGCUGACGACCGGCGCACGGGUGAGUAACGCGUAUGCAACCUGCCUAUAACUGGGGAAUAGCUCCCUGAAAGGGGAAUUAACACCGCAUAACACUAUUGAUUCGCAUGGAUUAGUAGUUAAAUGUAGCGAUACAGGUUAUAGAUGGGCAUGCGUGACAUUAGCUAGUUGGUGAGGUAACGGCUCACCAAGGCUACGAUGUCUAGGGGUUCUGAGAGGAAGGUCCCCCACACUGGUACUGAGACACGGACCAGACUCCUACGGGAGGCAGCAGUGAGGAAUAUUGGUCAAUGGGCGCAAGCCUGAACCAGCCAUGUCGCGUGCAGGAAGACUGCCCUAUGGGUUGUAAACUGCUUUUAUAGUAGAAGAAACACAUCUACGAGUAGAUGUCUGCCAGUAUACUAUGGAUAAGCAUCGGCUAACUCCGUGCCAGCCGCAGC